CACACAGGAAAUUUGUAUCGAAAGUUACCAUAUGGGCAGAAGAUAAAGAUUGAAGUGGACAAAAAUUUAACUUACAGAGUAUUCAGCGAUAAGUCAUAUUCAGAACCUGAGUGUGUUCAAGAAGAACAAAUGGAAAAGAUACAGAUUCCAGGAUCAAAGGGACAACCAGUAUCAAAGAAGUAAAAAUAAAAAAUGUUGGGAUAUAUCUUUAGAAAAAUAAAAUAAAACAUAAAUCUUA